CCAGGCUAGCUCGGCGGUACAGCCACACCGAAUCUGCGCAGAGCGAGGGAGAGGUCGAGAUCUUGCGAUGGAAUUAGAGAGCGAGGGAGAGAGAGAGAGAGAAGGGGAGCGAGGGAGGGAUCUGGACCGAAGGGGUGUGGAUCGGGCCGGAGUAGAGCCGCAUGGUACGGAUAUGGCCGGUCACAAAGUACCGUUCAGCAUCGAGAUUCGAGCUGGGCGACGAUGCAGCCUGAGUUAUUUAAACCGGCCCCGCUGGCAAACUAGGACAUUCCAUCCGAGCUCCUCCUGGACUCGCCGAGGGGUCCCUCUCUCUCUGCGGGUUUCGUCUCUGCUCGUCUCUCUCCCGCCUCUCCUCUCCGAGCUCUCGAUGGACGCCUUGGAUUCGGUGGUCGAUCCCCUCCGGGGGUUCGCCAAGGACAGCGUCCGCCUCGUCAAGAGGUGCCACAAGCCCGAUCGCAAAGAGUUCACGAAGGUGGCCUUCCGCACGGCGAUUGGUUUCGUGGUAAUGGGGUUCGUGGGUUUCUUCGUGAAGCUGAUCUUUAUCCCGAUCAAUAACAUCAUCGUCGGGUCCGGCUAGGCCUGCCCAUCUUUUCUCCGGCAGCUGCUACCCUAAUCGGUGUAUCUCGGUUCUGCACCGUCCAAAUGGAUGAUGGCCGCUAAUUUUGGCACAUGAUCUGUUCUGGGUUUUGCUAUUGGUCCUGGAAAGUUUUUUUUUUUCAAUUUUGCCAUAAUUCGGAAAGGAAAAGAGACAGCCCAAUGCAGUCAGCAAGGAUUAGAAUGGAGAGCUCAGGAGGUAAAGUUGUCGUCCUAAAUAGCAUAGCGUAUCAUCAUGUGAAGCCCACGCUGGUUCCCCUUCCUGACAGUAUGAGACACCUUAAAGGAUCCUCAAUUCGAUGCUCAGCUGCCCUAGUAAUCUGAACUUGCUAACCGGCGGCCUUCCCAGUUUGCAGUCAAACAGGGAUUGAGGAUAAAUGCUUGCACCAGCACCUGCUACAAUUCUUUGCAGAGAGCUCUGCUGUCAAGAUUCCCCUCGACAACGCCGGUAGCUAGCUGGUAUCUGGCCUUCCGGAAAUACAAAAGCUGAUCUACAAUGCAAAUUUUUCUUGACAAAAAAGGAGGGUCUUCGAUUAAACCGAUGAUAUUAGAUAAUCACGUAAGUUUCAUUGACUGAUGAGUCCAUAUUAUACAACGACAAAGCUAAAUUCAGAAAUAUUACAAGCCCAUCAAUCUCAAAAAGAAAGUUAUACCAA